ACUCGAGUAGCUUAUAGUUAGAGCGCGACACUGAAGAUGUCGAUGAGGCACCUGUGCUGCCUUUGAGUA
rnacentral:tRNA from 1 species